rnacentral:rRNA from 1 species
ACGAACGCUGGCGGCGUGCUUAACCCAUGCAAGUCGAACGGAAAGGCCCUGCUUUUGUGGGGUGCUCGAGUGGCGAACGGGUGAGUAACACGUGAGUAACCUGCCCUUGACUUUGGGAUAACUUCAGGAAACUGGGGCUAAUACCGGAUAGGAGCUCCUGCUGCAUGGUGGGGGUUGGAAAGUUUCGGCGGUUGGGGAUGGACUCGCGGCUUAUCAGCUUGUUGGUGGGGUAGUGGCUUACCAAGGCUUUGACGGGUAGCCGGCCUGAGAGGGUGACCGGCCACAUUGGGACUGAGAUACGGCCCAGACUCCUACGGGAGGCAGCAGUGGGGAAUAUUGCACAAUGGGCGGAAGCCUGAUGCAGCAACGCCGCCUGCGGGAUGACGGCCUUCGGGUUGUAAACCGCUUUCGCCUGUGACGAAGCGUGAGUGACGGUAAUGGGUAAAGAAGCACCGGCUAACUACGUG